CCUACGGGUGGCAGCAGUGGGGGAUAUUGCACAAUGGGGGGAACCCUGAUGCAGCGACGCCGCGUGGGUGAAGAAGCGCCUCGGCGCGUAAAGCCCUGUCAGCAGGGAAGAAAAUGACGGUACCUGAAGAAGAAGCCCCGGCUAACUACGUGCCAGCAGCCGCGGUAAUACGUAGGGGGCAAGCGUUAUCCGGAUUUACUGGGGUUAAAGGGGGCGCAGACGGCGAUGCAAGCCAGGAGUGAAAGCCCGGGGGCCAACCCCGGGACUGCUCUUGGAACUGCGUGGCUGGAGUGCAGGAGGGGCAGGCGGAAUUCCUGGUGUAGCGGUGAAAUGCGUAGAGAUCAGGAGGAACACCGGUGGCGAAGGCGGCCUGCUGGACUGCAACUGACGUUGAGGCCCGAAAGCGUGGGGAGCAAACAGGAUUAGAUACCCUAGUAGUC
rnacentral:rRNA from 1 species